rnacentral:rRNA from 1 species
UACAGAGGUCCCGAGCGUUGUUCGGAUUCACUGGGCGUAAAGGGCGCGUAGGCGGGAUGGCAAGUCGGUCGUGAAAUCCCUCGGCUCAACCGAGGAACGUCGAUCGAUACUGCUGUUCUUGAGGAUUGCAGAGGAGACUGGAAUUCCCGGUGUAGCGGUGAAAUGUGUAGAGAUCGGGAGGAACACCGGUGGCGAAGGCGGGUCUCUGGGCCGAUACUGACGCUGAGGAGCGAAAGCGUGGGGAGCGAACAGG